rnacentral:rRNA from 2 species
GAGUUUGAUCCUGGCUCAGGAUGAACGCUGGCGGCGUGCCUAAUACAUGCAAGUCGAACGAGUGGCGAACGGGUGAGUAAGACAUAAGUAACCUGCCCUUUACAGGGGGAUAACUAUUGGAAACGAUAGCUAAGACCGCAUAGUAAAACUGGUAGAGGAUGGACUUAUGGCGCAUUAGCUGGUUGGUGAGGUAACGGCUCACCAAGGCGACGAUGCGUAGCCGACCUGAGAGGGUGACCGGCCACACUGGGACUGAGACACGGCCCAGACUCCUACGGGAGGCAGCAGUAGGGAAUUUUCGGCAAUGGGGGGAACCCUGACCGAGCAACGCCGCGUGAAGGAGGAAGGUCUUCGGACUGUAAACUUCUGUUAUAAAGGAAGAUGACGGUACUUUAUGAGGAAGCCACGGCUAACUACGUGCCAGCAGCCGCGGUAAUACGUAGGUGGCAAGCGUUAUCCGGAAUUAUUGGGCGUAAAGAGGGAGCAGGCGGCAGCAAGGGUCUGUGGUGAAAGACUGAAGCUUAACUUCAGUAAGCCAUAGAAACCGGGCAGCUAGAGUGCAGGAGAGGAUCGUGGAAUUCCAUGUGUAGCGGUGAAAUGCGUAGAUAUAUGGAGGAACACCAGUGGCGAAGGCGACGAUCUGGCCUGACUGACGCUCAGUCCCGAAAGCGUGGGGAGCAAAUAGGAUUAGAUACCCUAGUAGUCCACGCCGUAAACGAUGAGUACUAAGUGUUGGGAUCUCAGUGCUGCAGUUAACGCAGUAAGUACUCCGCCUGAGUAGUACGUUCGCAAGAAUGAAACUCAAAGGAAUUGACGGGGGCCCGCACAAGCGGUGGAGCAUGUGGUUUAAUUCGAAGCAACGCGAAGAACCUUACCAGGUCUUGACAUAUACAGGUGGUGCAUGGUUGUCGUCAGCUCGUGUCGUGAGAUGUUGGGUUAAGUCCCGCAACGAGCGCAACCCUUAUCGUUAGUUACCAUCAUGGGGACUCUAGCGAGACUGCCAGUGACAAGCUGGAGGAAGGCGGGGAUGACGUCAAAUCAUCAUGCCCCUUAUGACCUGGGCUACACACGUGCUACAAUGGAUGGCAGAGGGAAGCGAAGCCGCGAGGUGGAGCGAAACCCAGCCAUUCUCAGUUCGGAUGUAGUCUGCAACUCGACUACAGAAGUUGGAAUCGCUAGUAAUCGCGAAUCAGCAUGUCGCGGUGAAUACGUUCUCGGGCCUUGUACACACCGCCCGUCACACCAUGAGAGUUGAUAACACCCGAAGCCGGUGCCUAGGGAGCUGUCUAAGGUGGGAUUGAUGAUUGGGGUGAAGUCGUAACAAGG